GUGCCAGCAGCCGCGGUACUACGUAGGUGGCAAGCGUUAUCCGGAUUUACUGGGCGUAAAGAGUGCGUAGGCGGUUCUUCAAGUCGGAUGUGAAAUCUCCCGGCUUAACCGGGAGGGGUCAUUCGAAACUGUUGGACUAGAGGACAGCAGGGGGAGGUGGAAUUCCCGGUGUAGUGGUGAAAUGCGUAGAUAUCGGGAGGAACACCAGUGGCGAAGGCGGCCUCCUGGGCUGUUUCUGACGCUGAGGCUCGAAAGUGUGGGGAGCGAACAGGAUUAGAUACCCUGGUAGUCCACACUGUAAACAAUGGACACUAGGUAUGGGGAGUAUCGACCCUUUCUGUGCCGAAGCUAACGCUUUAAGUGUCCCGCCUGGGGACUACGGCCGCAAGGCUAAAACUCAAAUGAAUUGACGGGG
rnacentral:rRNA from 1 species